rnacentral:lncRNA from 13 species
CACCUAGUUCGGCCUCACCGAGCUGGCGACACUGGCCAAGAGACAAUCAGUUCUGCGGUCGUGGGUGACUCAGGAUACGUCAGUUCACACAUACUUUUAGACAUCCUUCUAUUCUCCCUCAUUCUCAUUCUCAUUCUUAUUCUCUCCCUCCCCUCCCCUCCCCUCACUUUCCCAGUCCCUUCCAUCCCGCAGCCCCUGUCUCCCUAUCUCUUUUCUUGUGCCAUUUCUUUUCCAUCUUUGUAGUCUCUCUCCUAUGUCUCAACUUCUAAUUCAAGAUGUUAAACAGCAGGUAUGUUCAAUUUAAAAAGGAAUCUUGCCACAUUUGUGCGGUGAGUUGAACCUAUAUCUAACAUUUUAUUUGUCUAAAACUCUAAACAUGAGCAGACAGAACCCUCAGGAACAUAGAAGUCAAACACUUAUUGCAGUUGCUUAAAGAGAAAUGCUCCUACUCAGGUGCCUUCCUUGAAAACAGCAAAUGUCUUUGUGGAUAUUAAUAUUAAAGCAAAUGCCUUUAUGAAUAUUGAACUUGCAGACCUACUCUUACCAUGUGCCAGGCACUGCUUUAGCAACAGAGUCGUUUCAUCAUACCAGACCAAGUUGAGAUGUGCCUCAGGUACUCCUCACAUUGACCCUACAAGGUCAGCAUCAUCCCAAGAGGAGGAAACUGAAUGAGCAAAAUCAAGGUUCAUACAGAUUCACCAAUGUAACCCAAGAGAGAACUGAGCCUAAAAUUAGGUCUGUUUGACUCCAAGAUCACAUGUUCCCAUUAAGUAUUUGAAACAUAAAAUUCACAUCUAAAGAAAAAUGUUCUAAGUGACCUUCUAGACACCUGAGUAGAGAUUUAUUUUCCUGAAUCUAACCACAUUCCAGUGUUGUAGCUUGAAUUUGAUAUCCUGCCCUUAACUGUAUGAAACAAUCUUUUCACCUUAUAUUCACAAGCUAUAACUGGACGAGCUAAGCGUGCCUGCCUGCAAAGUGUUCUGAACCAUGGCAUACUCUUACGUCUGCUUGCAUCUGUAUCCCAUGCUCAAAAGUACCAGGACCCAGCCAGGAAUACUAGCACCAUCACUCCAGUCCAGUUUACCAACUUUCCUCGUGGACAGCCCUCAGCACUCAUCUACCUAGUCCAUGACAUGUCAGCUCCUCUGAGAAGCCAUGUCUCCAUAAACCGUUCUCCAUACCAGAGCCCAUUUUUGAAAGCAGACACAUGCUCCAAAGCUGGAGAGAGUUGUGGGCCUCUGCAUCUCGUUGGUGGUCCUCUGAAGGCCAAAGCCCACUUCUGAGCCCAGAUGCUGCUGAAGUGCCCACAGUUCUCCCCUGGACCUGCUGAGCCAGACUGGAAGAAAGUAGCAAGGACCCACAGACUUUAGUCAGCAGCCUGCAAACACAGAGUGGAGUUGGCUCUAAUAGAGUGUGUACUCAUAAAAAGAUGUUUAACCUGCAUGGGAGACGCCCUAUUGUUUUGACCUUCACGACAAUUGGGUGUAAAACUUUGAGUAAACACCUUCCUGACACCUAUUAAGGGGACUCCGCGGGAGGUGCAGCCAUUAAUCAGAACAGCCGCAGGAGGCGAGGGCUGCUGAUGGAGUCCUGGAAGGAUGACUUGGUCCCCUGCAGUUCUCUCUCUUUUUCUUCAAAUUAAAUCCCAAGGAAAUCGAGAGAGAGAAAGAAACUCCAUUUAGUUCCUGCUUGCCUCCCAGAAGAAGAGGCAGUUUCAACCUGCCUGUGCCAGGAGGAGGCAGGCAUGGGAUGGAGACUGCGAUGGAGCUUGUCUGUGGCUAUUGUGGCUUCUGUUUGAUCUCAGGUGGAGAUGGGGAAGCAGAACAGAGAUAAGAAUGUCUCUCCCAAGUGACUGAAGAAGCCAAUAAAGCUGACCUUGAGGUGACA